GAUGAGCGACCGCGGGAGGCGUGUCGUUUAUACAGGAGGUCUUGCAAGUAAACAAUUUGAUUGAGUGGAAAUCUGCCAGGACUGUUUUCGAAUUGAAUUUUAAAAGGCUGGUCACAGACAAGACUGGACAAAGGCUGUAGUGUGUUGUUUGAUCGCUUUGGUUUACAUAGAACCUCCCAUAAAAAGUGCACUUAAAAUGAUGGAAAAGAAAAAACUAAAAAGUUCAGUGCUGUCAAGAGUCGGAGAGACGUCUUCAAAGUUGCAGCAAGUUCAAAAGCCAUUGCCAGGUCCAUCUUCCACAGUAUUGCAUCCUGGAAAUGCACGUUUGGUUAGAAGGCGUCCAUGUCAGUACAGGGUGACAUAUACUUGGAAUCGAGGAGGGAGACUGAAGGAGUUGCGGAUCCGUCAUCUUGCCAGGAAAUUUUUACACCUGUGGAUGUUCAACACCUUUGGAAGAGUCCUCCCCUCCAG